rnacentral:rRNA from 1 species
UGAGCAAUCUGCCCUUCACAUCGGAAUAACCAUUGGAAACGAUGGCUAAUACCGAAUAUGACUUCGGAUCGCAUGAUCUGAAGUGGAAAGCUCCGGCGGUGAAGGAUGAGCUCGCGGCCUAUCAGCUUGUUGGUGAGGUAAUAGCUCACCAAGGCGACGACGGGUAGCCGGCCUGGAGGGGUGACCCGGCCACACUGGGACUGAGACACCGGCCCAUAUCCGUACGGGG